rnacentral:rRNA from 1 species
CCCCUAGAUGUUCUGGGCCGCACGCGCGCUACACUGAACAGUUCAACAAGUCUUAACCUUGGCCGAUAGGUCUGGGUAAUCUUUGAACGCUGUUCGUGAUUGGGAUAGACCUUUGCAAUUAUGGGUCUUCAACGAGGAAUUCCUAGUAAACGCAAGUCAUCAGCUUGCAUUGAUUACGUCCCUGCCCUUUGUACACACCGCCCGUCGCACCUACCGAUUGAAUGGUCCGGUGAAAUUCUCGGACGCGGACUUGCGAUGUUAAUUCGGAGCUUGGCUGUGAAAGUUAAUUAAACCUUACCAUUUAGAGGAAGGUGAAGUCGUAACA